rnacentral:rRNA from 1 species
GAGGAAGCCACUUCGGUGGCAGGAAGACAGGUGGUGCAUGGUUGUCGUCAGCUCGUGUCGUGAGAUGUUGGGUUAAGUCCCGCAACGAGCGCAACCCUUAUUGUUAGUUGCUACCAUUUAGUUGAGCACCCUAGCGAGACUGCCCGGGUUAACCGGGAGGAAGGUGGGGAUGACGUCAAAUCAUCAUGCCCCUUAUGUCUAGGGCUACACACGUGCUACAAUGGUCGGUACAAUGAGAUGCAACCUCGCGAGAGUGAGCAAAACUAUAAAACCGAUCUCAGUUCGGAUUGUAGGCUGAAACUCGCCUACAUGAAGCUGGAGUUGCUAGUAAUCGCGAAUCAGAAUGUCGCGGUGAAUACGUUCCCGGGCCUUGUACACACCGCCCGUCACACCAUGAGAGUUGGCAAUACCCAAAGUUCGUGAGCUAACCGCAAGGAGGCAGCGACCUAAGGUAGGGUCAGCGAUUGGGGUGAAGUCGUAACAAGGUAGCCGUAGGAGAAC